rfam:Trichobilharzia regenti genome assembly, scaffold: TRE_scaffold0071390
GUGCUGAUGAAGAGUCUCAAACUAGGACGAAACAGCUGUCCAGUAC